rnacentral:lncRNA from 1 species
AAGUCCUUCAAUCCACUCUUUUUCCUUUUCCUUUUGUUGCAAAGCUGGAAAUUUGAGUUUGCUGAAGUCCUGGACGUCGAGCUUGGGGUGGGUUAGAAGAGUUGCCUGUUGCUUUAGAUUUGGAAGAAGAAAUGGAAGCAAAUGAUGGCCUAACUUCAUCUUCCUUCUAAAUGUCAUCUAAAUUUUCAGUAUAUUCAUUUUCAAGUGAUCUCCACCUCAUAUCUUCUAAUCUUAUCAUAGAAUCAUCAAGAUAAGUUUCCUCUGGAUCAAUAUCCCACUUACUAUAGGGUCC